AACGCUAGCUACAGGCUUAACACAUGCAAGUCGAGGGGCAGCAUUUCGCUAGCAAUAGUGAAGAUGGCGACCGGCGCACGGGUGAGUAACACGUAUCCAACCUGCCGAUAACUCGGGGAUAGCCUUUCGAAAGAAAGAUUAAUAUCCGAUGGUAUAUUAAGAUCGCAUGGUUUUACUAUUAAAGAAUUUCGGUUAUCGAUGGGGAUGCGUUCCAUUAGUUUGUUGGCGGGGUAACGGCCCACCAAGACUACGAUGGAUAGGGGUUCUGAGAGGAAGGUCCCCCACAUUGGAACUGAGACACGGUCCAAACUCCUACGGGAGGCAGCAGUGAGGAAUAUUGGUCAAUGGGCGAGAGCCUGAACCAGCCAAGUAGCGUGAAGGAUGAAGGCUCUAUGGGUCGUAAACUUCUUUUAUAUGGGAAUAAAGUUUUCCACGUGUGGAAUUUUGUAUGUACCAUAUGAAUAAGGAUCGGCUAACUCCGUGCCAGCAGCCGCGGUAAUACGGAGGAUCCGAGCGUUAUCCGGAUUUAUUGGGUUUAAAGGGAGCGUAGGUGGAUUGUUAAGUCAGUUGUGAAAGUUUGCGGCUCAACCGUAAAAUUGCAGUUGAAACUGGCAGUCUUGAGUACAGUAGAGGUGGGCGGAAUUCGUGGUGUAGCGGUGAAAUGCUUAGAUAUCACGAAGAACUCCGAUUGCGAAGGCAGCUCACUAGACUGUCACUGACACUGAUGCUCGAAAGUGUGGGUAUCAAACAGGAUUAGAUACCCUGGUUAGUCCACACAGUAAACGAUGAAUCCUCGCUGUUUGCGAUAUACAGUAAGCGGCCAAGCGAAAGCAUUAAGUAUUCCACCUGGGGGAGUACGCCGGCAACGGUGAAACUCAAAGGAAUUGACGGGGGCCCGCACAAGCGGAGGAACAUGUGGUUUAAUUCGAUGAUACGCGAGGAACCUUACCCGGGCUUAAAUUGCAACAGAAUAUAUUGGAAACAGUAUAGCCGUAAGGCUGUUGUGAAGGUGCUGCAUGGUUGUCGUCAGCUCGUGCCGUGAGGUGUCGGCUUAAGUGCCAUAACGAGCGCAACCCUUAUCUUUAGUUACUAACAGGUGAUGCUGAGGACUCUAGAGAGACUGCCGUCGUAAGAUGUGAGGAAGGUGGGGAUGACGUCAAAUCAGCACGGCCCUUACGUCCGGGGCUACACACGUGUUACAAUGGGGGGUACAGAAGGCGGCUACCUGGUGACAGGAUGCUAAUCCCAAAAACCUCUCUCAGUUCGGAUCGAAGUCUGCAACCCGACUUCGUGAAGCUGGAUUCGCUAGUAAUCGCGCGUCAGCCAUGGCGCGGUGAAUACGUUCCCGGGCCUUGUACACACCGCCCGUCAAGCCAUGAAAGCCGGGGGUACCUGAAGUACGUAACCGCAAGGAGCGUCCUAGGGUAAAACUAA
rnacentral:rRNA from 1 species